rnacentral:rRNA from 1 species
UAGCCGUAAACGAUGCUCGCUAGGUGUCGGCCACGGUGCGACCGUUGUCGGUGCCGUAGGGAAGCCGUGAAGCGAGCCACCUGGGAAGUACGGCCGCAAGGCUGAAACUUAAAGGAAUUGGCGGGGGGAGCACAACAACGGGUGGAGCUUGCGGUUUAAUUGGAUUCAACGCCGGAAAUCUUACCGGGACCGACAGCAACAUGAAGGCCAGGCUGAAGACUUUGCCGGAUUAGCUGAGAGGAGGUGCAUGGCGUAGUCGUGU